AUGAGCAAAGCAAGCCACCUGUGCUAUUUCCUCCCCUGGGAGCCCAGGGUGCAAUGGCUGCAAAUAGGAGCCUUUUCGGUAGUGUAUACAGCCUGUUGCCUGCAUGAGUUGCCCUAAGGAACUUGAAUACGACC
rnacentral:snoRNA from 1 species